UACGAGUGCCCCAAGCGUUAUCCGGAAUCAUUGGGCGUAAAGGGUGUGUAGGUGGCGAUGUUAGUCUUCUGUCAAAUUCUUCGGCUUAACCGGGGGUCUGCAGAGGAACGGCAUUGCUCGAGGAUGCGAGGGGUCUAUGGAACUCAUGGAGUAGGGGUGAAAUCCGUUGAUAUCAUGGGGAACACCAAAAGCGAAGGCAAUAGACUGGCGCAUUCCUGACACUGAAACACGAAAGCGUGGGUGAGCGAACGGGAUUAAGAAACCCG
rnacentral:rRNA from 1 species